GGUUUCUCUGUGUAGCCUUGGCUGUCCUGGAACUCGCUCUGUAGACCAGGCUGGUCUCGAACUCAUAAAUCCGCCUGCCUGCCUCCCGAGUGCUGGGAUUAAAGGCAUGCGCCACCACGCCCG
rnacentral:miRNA from 1 species